rnacentral:lncRNA from 1 species
ACACCUAUUCUAAAAUAUCAAGACACUAUCUCCCCCUUAGAAGAAAACCUCUACCUUUUAGUCCUUAACUGAUUCUUUCAGUUCGACCAAACGAAAAUCCAUAUCCUGCUUCUACUUUACUUCCGAAACUAGGGAAGAUUCGGAACUACUCUAAACCCAAACACUAACCUCAGCUGAAUCAAUCAAUCUAACACCCAACCUAGCCAAAUGAUGUACUUCGCAGACCAACUCCC